UCCAGUUUACUGCCGCGAAUCAUCGCAUCCUCCUUUUAAACUUGUUUAACUGUCUCUUGACCUUUUUUAGAGGAUAGAAACUACGAAGUCUACGAUCCAUUCAGCACAGAUCUGUUGUGGCGAGUAAGAGCGGGCGAUCGAGGUGACAGCCAAUACGCGAAAAAUCUGGCGACUUACAUUUUCACGAAUGAAGUUCUGGCACAAUCGUCUAUCACAGGGCAGCCGUAUCGUAACAAGAAAGGAGCCGUUGCUAAACCUGCAUUGGAUGGACAUAAACUGGAAUACUUGAGACAAAUUUUCAUCCUCCGCCUUAAAGAAGAGUUCAAGGGGAAAAAUGACAUCAAGUUCCAGGCAGCCAUAGAGAAACGUGCAAAUCGGAAAGUAUUGGAGAACUACAUCCGGGAGAAGAUCUGCACUCUUGGUCGCUUAUUUCAUACUGCUUAGGUCUGCCCCCCCCCCUUCCUCCCAAUCAGGAGAUUCUGGUCUUCUUCUCCCACUAGAUUUUUGUUUGUUUGUACAAAUUAAGCUUCUUUAGAUACCUCCACUGUUGUGCUCAUCGUUUUAUUACAGCUCGGAGCCCAUGGGCUGACGAAUUUUUGUCUAGAAGAGGUAAUAAGAAAAUGGGAGGAAAAUUAUUUUGACAAGUAAAACUUUUUGAAACGA